rnacentral:rRNA from 1 species
UGAGGAAUAUUGGUCAAUGGGCGGAAGCCUGAACCAGCCAAGUCGCGUGAGGGAAGACGGUCCUAUGGAUUGUAAACCUCUUUUGUCGGGGGAGCAAGGAUCCGCACGAGUGCGGAGGCGAGAGUACCCGAAGAAAAAGCAUCGGCUAACUCCGUGCCAGCAGCCGCGGUAAUACGGAGGAUGCGAGCGUUAUCCGGAUUUAUUGGGUUUAAAGGGUGCGCAGGCGGAGGAUCAAGUCAGCGGUAAAAUAGCGGGGGCUCAACCCCGCUCGUAGCGUUCGUAAGCAAUGGUUUUUCCUAGAGUGAGCGAGAAGUAUGCGGAAUGCGUGGUGUAGCGGUGAAAUGCAUAGAUAUCACGCAGAACUCCGAUUGCGAAGGCAGCAUACCGGCGCUCAACUGACGCUCAGGCACGAAAGCGUGGGUAUCGAACAGGAUUAGAUACC